UGCAAACCGAACCAGGGUUGGGAUAUUUGCAAUGGUCUUGGGGAUUUGUCCAACCAAUUUAUUGGAAGACAAAAUCAAAAUCCUUAACUUGGUGAGAUUUUCAAUUGAAUCAGGAAUAGACCCUUCAAGCUUAUUGACACUAAGAUCAAUAAGGCUCAAGUUCUGAUAAUUCAAAAUUUCCAAGGGGAUUUCACCUUCGAAAAAAUUCACAGAAAGCUGAAGCUCCUCCAACACCAUGGAUUUUCCAAGAUAUACAGGAACAGAACCACUGAAGCUAUUGAAAUUAAGAUACAAUUUUUUAAGUGCAGG
rnacentral:misc_RNA from 1 species